ensembl:misc_RNA 7SK 7SK RNA
GGACUGUGAGGGCAGUCUGGUUGCAACAUCUUUCAAUCCAUCAAUCACCAGGGUUGAUUGGACUUACCUGGCUGUCUAGGAGAAUGUCCCCUUCUUCUCUCACUGCUCCAUCUGUAUCCCUCCCAAAGCUGUUCGCAUUGUGAAAGGGGAUGACUUUCCUGAAAUAGAGAUGAACUAGUCUUUGGUCAACGGUGUAUGAAUAACUGCACUCCUCUGCUAGAACCUCCAAACAAGCUCUCAAUAAUGUCUCGGGUAGUUGGUGUGCUAUUCCUUGAAAUGAGCAGCACAGGAGAAUUCUGAUUGUUU